rnacentral:lncRNA from 1 species
UAUUAUUUUCGCAGAUGCCAUAUUUCAUAAGGCACCUAACCAUGCCACGUGUCCAUCCUAUAAGAUAAUAGAAGUUAUUCUGGGGAAAUAACAUCCAAGUUAUUCUGAGAUAAAUAACACCCAAGCUAUUCCGGGGAAAUAACACCUAAAGAAAAAUUCCCCUGGAGCUUAUCAAAUGACAAGAGGGGGAAUUAGUUCUGCAAUCCAUUAGUCUAGGGAAAUCAUGCCCAAAGGUCAUACAAGUAAGGAAACACAAAGGAGUGGAAUAAUUCCUUAGAUCAAAUGCACCUCCACGUGUACAAAAAUUAUAGGUGACACAUGUCGUUAGAUUGAAGGUUCAAAGCAAAACUCUAAAUCCACAUCACUCAUCAUUUAUAAAUAGAGACCCAUCUCUAAGAGAAAAGAGGUCUUUGGCCUCCAAUAGCACUGUUCAUACUUAGAGAGAGAAACCUAUCUUCUCCAUUUUUCUUCUUUCUUUAAUCUUAAUUAAACACUAACUUGGGCGUUGGAGUGCCUUUUUCAAGUACUCACCCCUCCGGAUUCGAGGCCAAUGAUCGUGACAAGUUCUCCACAAACUAAAAUACAUGUGAAGGUAAACAAAUCAACACUUUCAUUGGUGUUGUCUGUGGGGAACUUGCAAAAUAAAAGUCAUUUUCUCUCACUAAAACCCAAACAACCACCACUCUACACCCACUUUUUCAGAUUAGAUUUGAUUGUGUAUGGUUGUAAAAAGAGGUGAAUACUUGUAUUUAUUCAUUAAAAAUUGGUUUAUGUAUGAGACCCAAACUUCAAGCAAGAUUAAAAAGGCAAUAAAGCCAAAAAUCCAAGCUCAAAAAUGGAGGUUUCUCCUCCAAGUGAGUUACUGGAGAUAAGGAGUAAAGAAAAUGAAAAAUCUAUUUAGUCAACAUUAAACUUUGACCGAACAAUAUAAAGUCAAUAUGGUUGAAAAGGGUCAAAAUGGUCUCUGAAACUAAACCCAAGGCCAAUUUAUCUUUUAUUUUAUUUAUCUUCAUUUUCCUUUUAAUUAUGCUAAUUAUGCUGACUUAUUUACAUUUUUGCCAUUUUGUUUAUUCCCUCAGAAUUUCUUCAUUUUUCUAUGAGUAAGGCUAAGGAAAACCCAAGCAUUCACCUUACCAGGGGGAAUAUAUGAAGGUUAUUAAGUUAACGUGGAUCAACAUAACUCUAUGUUCUAAUCUAACAACUAUGAUUCCGCAUCUAACAUAUUAACACAUUUCAUUUUCAAUUUUCUUAUGCCAUUCUUGACUUUACUUGAUCUACCCAUAAGUAAGGCUAAGAAAAAUCCAAACAUUCACCUCCUCAUAAGGAAUAAACAAAUGGGUAUUACGACAACAUGGAAUAAUCUAACUUUCCUAACAUAUUAUGCAACUAAUGAUUACUCUUAAGUUAUUUGUAAAUUUCAUAAUGUUAGAUGCUAAUUCUGGAAGGAAGUGGAAACUAUGGAAAACCCAAAAGAGUAGCCCAAAAAAGCUAAAAACAUGCAGAGAGGCAAAUUGCCUACUAAAAGAGAAGGAUAGAAUCCACACAAAACAAACCUAAAAGGGCACAUAGAGAACUGAUUGUGAUGAGGAGUAGAGAUUCCAAAGGUGCUUACAGCAGGAAAGGAAAUUUAAAAGAUUCUAAGGAGACUCCAGAAAAAAUAUCCAAGUGGCUUCCACACAAAUGAUGUCAUGGUAGCAUUCCUCAUGGAAAAAGCUAAAGACCAUUUGAAUGACAUUCUAGACUAGUCUAAAUGUUUAUUCAGAUUGAUAGCUUGUAAAAAACGAACAUUUCAUUUUAGCUAUUACGACUACAUGAAUGAUUUCAACUCUUGAAAAUAUUGAUCAAAUUAAUAAUGCACAACACAAGUGACUGAUCAUAAAAUAAUGUACUAAUGAACAUUUGCAUACAUAAACAUUCAUAUUUAUGCAUUGUUAACAUAUGUACAUUCAUAAUGUUGAUUUUGAUGAUAAUAAACAAGAUUAAGAAUGAUUAAGCUUUUAAAGCUCAAAUUAUUUUUUAUACUUUUUAAAUAAAUGAAAUUGGUUGUUUUUCAAGUUCAUGAUCUAAUUGAAAAAGUUUUGAAACUCUAGAAAUGGAAU